AAAUUGAAGAGUUUGAUCAUGGCUCAGAUUGAACGCUGGCGGCAGGCCUAACACAUGCAAGUCGAACGGUAACAGGAAGCAGCUUGCUGCUUUGCUGACGAGUGGCGGACGGGUGAGUAAUGUCUGGGAAACUGCCUGAUGGAGGGGGAUAACUACUGGAAACGGUAGCUAAUACCGCAUAACGUCGCAAGACCAAAGAGGGGGACCUUCGGGCCUCUUGCCAUCGGAUGUGCCCAGAUGGGAUUAGCUAGUAGGUGGGGUAAAGGCUCACCUAGGCGACGAUCCCUAGCUGGUCUGAGAGGAUGACCAGCCACACUGGAACUGAGACACGGUCCAGACUCCUACGGGAGGCAGCAGUGGGGAAUAUUGCACAAUGGGCGCAAGCCUGAUGCAGCCAUGCCGCGUGUAUGAAGAAGGCCUUCGGGUUGUAAAGUACUUUCAGCGGGGAGGAAGGGAGUAAAGUUAAUACCUUU
rnacentral:rRNA from 1 species